CCCGGAGGAGGUGGUAGGAAAGAGGGUCCGUGUUUUCAUGGCUUUAGAAGCAGCUAACACAGGAACAACACAGAAGAACACUGAAGAGCUCAUUACGGUCCCUCCUGAGACCUGAAGGACAAAGGUCUCUCUUUCUUCACAGACCCACACAAUGCCUGUGGUGGCCCAGCUCAGUCCCUGGGUCUGGGGCGUCUCUGUUCUGGAGUGUGGACAGAGGCUAAAAUGGCCACUUAACCCUCUCAAUGGUCACUCAUAAGAUGGCACUCCUUACCUCAGCUCUGACAGCAGCCUUCCACAUCCACUGAGGGUUUUCAUCCCUGAACUGAGGACAGCGAUAGCAACGUCCCUGGCUUGUACCCUUCUACCACCACAAGAAAGCUAGGACUCUGUGCUACUCUUCAGAGAGCCUCCUCAGAGCAACAGGAGAAUCCCCAAGCAUGGACAGAGACAAUAACAAGUACCCAAGAGCUCCAGACAUAGCACUCUCCUAGUGCUGGUGUGGGUGGGGUUGCACGGGUGCAAUUUGUUACCGUUCUUUAAACUGUGCGCAUCCAUUUGCAUGUGUCCUUCGGCAUGUACUUCCUAGUGAAUAAGACAUAUCAGCUAGAGCCAAGGGCAAACUCAUCUGGCACUCAGAGGAAGUGGAAGUGGGUUUAUCUCCCUGCCUUGCAGAAGUGGGCGAGGUGCUGCGAGCGCUCUACAAAGACUAACCCUCUCUUAUUUACUACAGAGCGGUCAGCGGUCGCCAGGUCAUGCAUCCAACAUUUCUGUAUCCUCUUCUUCAGGCCUUCAGGCCUUCAGGCCGGGACAAGAGAAGCAGAGCUCCCCUCCUGUGACAUUCACUCCACUGCGCAGGGAUUAGGUCAUGGCAAUGAGUAGUGAUUGUAUGAAACACUGGCUCAGAGAAUCAGAGCUCCAAGGGCUGAGGCACACCUCAGGGGUAGGGUGCUUGCCAAGUGUUUGUAGGGCCCUGGGUUUGAUGCCCACGACAGUCAGAAACUGCCAUGACCAACAACCAAUCCCCAAGAGAGUUUCCUGGCUAAACGGACUUCCUGCUUGAACUGCUACACAAAGAUUUGUCAUUUAUGAGAUUGUGAGAAAGACAGGAUAGACAAGAUGAAAAACAGACAAAAAAUAUAAAGAAAAACAUCUGGCCAAAGUCUCUAAAAAACAAAGUUUUCAUUUCACAACAGAAACUGGGGUGGCCACCCUGAACCUGUGGGGGCUGCUGAGCAGGUGUCAGGUGACAAACACUGUGUCAGUGUACACACUCAGCUCUGGCUUUUCAGUGAGUGCAACAGGUUAAUUUAAGUUUGUGGGUAAGAUGAACUGAGGUCAGAGGUCUGAUGUUUGCCUGACACAUCUGGUCACAUAGACCUGCGUGACAAAAGCUUGCAGAAAUUCAGCUUUAAUUAAAAAAGAAAAGAAAAGGAAAACCAUGAGGCCAAUUUAAAGCUUCUCUGAAAAUUGCUAGGUGAUUUCCCAGUUAGUUCUGAGUGGCACCAUGAAAACGAUGUCUGCCUGACUUCAGAUCACUGGUCCUGAAGCAGGAAGGCCUGCAGGGCUUGGUCUACUUCCAAAGUAGCCAAGAAGAACUUAUUCUUUCUCAGUGUUUAGAAUGGUGUCUGUACUAGCUGGCUUUGGGUGCCAAUGUGACACAAGCUGGAGUUAUCCCAGAGAAAGGAGCCUCCCUUGAGGAAAUGCCUCCAUGAGAUCCAGCUGUACGGCAUUUUCUCAAUUAGUGAUCAAGAGGGGAGAAGCCCAUUGUGGGUGGCGCCAUCCCUGGGCAAGCUGAGCAAGCCAGGGGAAGCAAGCCAGUAAGCAGCACCCUCCAUGGCCUCUGCAUCAGCUCCUGCCUCCAGGUUCCUACCUGUGUGAGUCCCUACCUGACUUCCUUUGGUGAUGAACAGCAAUGCGGAAGUGUAAGCCGAAUGAACCUUUUCCUCCAUAACUUGCUUCCUGGUCAUGAUGUUUUGUGUAGGAACACAAAACCUGACUAAGACAGUAUUAAUUAUUUUAACUCCAUAAAAAUAGUCAAAUAAAACAGUAUCUUGUUCUUGGAAAACAACAACAACAACAACAACAACAACAACAACAAAGGAUCCUGAUUUCUAAAUGUAGUGCAUUCCCAUAAAAAACAGUGGAAAAGACAAAAAGGAGGCCACGUUAUCUGUCACAGAACAAUUCUGCUCUCUGCUUGGGGCUGUGGCAAACAUAGCCUGAUUUAGUUCUUGCUCCUGAUCCAGGUUCUAGCCUGUCUGCUGGGUCCCCUCAGACCUUCCAUAGACGGUCUUGGUGGAGGGAUUCACUUGCAUAAUUGGCUCAAGAGACAACAAUCGUGCAUCGGCCUCUCCUAGCCACUAAUCUAGCCAGCUGACUGCAAGCCUAAUUGGCAGCUUGUUGAGUAGUUUGGCUCCUAAAGUGUUGUACUGAUGUGGGCUCAACAGACAGUGCAAGGGGAGGCAGAGUUCUCUCCGUGUAACACAAGCUCCACCUGUCUCUGCCCCUACGCAGUAGGCAGUUAUUAGUUUUCCCUUAUUCAAAGCUUCCAAUCCCUUUGCUAGCCAGCCUGGGUCAGGACUAUUAUUAUUAGCAAUGUUAACCUAACUGUGAGUAGUAAUUACGUCCCCAGCACCUACUUUAGGGACAAGAGGUGAGACUCUGAAAGGCAUGGCUAUUGCUUGUCAAAUGCUUCAAUUACUUGAUCUGUAACAUCACACAUUUUUCAUGUAAAUAAAAUCAAUCUAAUUGGGUGUUUAAAUA
ensembl:antisense Gm38155 predicted gene, 38155